AGAGUUUGAUCCUGGCUCAGGAUGAACGCUAGCGGCAGGCUUAACACAUGCAAGUCGAGGGGUAACAUUGUAGCUUGCUACAGAUGACGACCGGCGCACGGGUGCGUAACGCGUAUACAAUCUACCUUUUGCUGAGGGAUAGCCCAGAGAAAUUUGGAUUAAUACCUCAUGGUAUGUAUUGAUGGCAUCAUUAAUAUAUUAAAGGUUACGGCAAAAGAUGAGUAUGCGUCCUAUUAGCUAGAUGGUAAGGUAACGGCUUACCAUGGCUACGAUAGGUAGGGGCCCUGAGAGGGGGAUCCCCCACACUGGUACUGAGACACGGACCAGACUCCUACGGGAGGCAGCAGUGGGGAAUAUUGGACAAUGGGGGCAACCCUGAUCCAGCAAUGCCGCGUGUGUGAAGAAGGCCUGCGGGUUGUAAAGCACUUUCAGUAGAGAAGAAAAGCCCACGGCUAAUACCCGUGAGUCUUGACGUUACCUACAGAAGAAGCUCCGGCUAACUCCGUGCCAGCAGCCGCGGUAAUACGGAGGGAGCGAGCGUUAAUCGGAAUUACUGGGCGUAAAGCGCGCGUAGGCGGCUUUGUAAGUCGGAUGUGAAAGCCCUGGGCUCAACCUGGGAAUGGCAUUCGAUACUGCAGAGCUAGAGUAUGGUAGAGGGAAGUGGAAUUUCCGGUGUAGCGGUGAAAUGCGUAGAUAUCG
rnacentral:rRNA from 1 species